UACGUAGGGUCCGAGCGUUGUCCGGAAUUAUUGGGCGUAAAGAGCUCGUAGGCGGUUUGUCGCGUCUGCUGUGAAAUCUAGAGGCUCAACCUCUAGCCUGCAGUGGGUACGGGCAGACUUGAGUGCGGUAGGGGAGAAUGGAAUUCCUGGUGUAGCGGUGGAAUGCGCAGAUAUCAGGAGGAACACCGGUGGCGAAGGCGGGUCUCUGGGCCGAUACUGACGCUGAGGAGCGAAAGCGUGGGGAGCGAACAGG
rnacentral:rRNA from 1 species